ACGGGCCAGUUCGUUCAGUGUGUCGUUCGCAAUGCUAUCCCUCCCGUCGACCUCUUCGUUUCCUGUUCCUCGGUCCGUGAUGCACCGCCGUGGUCCUCCAUCCGUGAUGCACCGCCGUGGUUCUCUGUCCAGCCGGCGAGUUUGUACUACACCGUUCAUCCAUGGCGGCUGCGGCGGCCGGCCGCGCCAUCGAUGUUCAUCGCCCACUGUACUGUACUCCUCCUACAUGCGCCUCCAUAUCCUCGAAGCUGUACCGCGCGUUCCUCCCCAUUUCACAACUGAAGCAAAAACUGUCGUGUAAGAUUGGAUCUAGAAAAGCUCCUUUCAGCGGCGGCGGCGCAUGGAUGAGAUGCUGCGCAAGAUUGGAUCUCGAGAAGCUCCUUUCAUCGGUGGCGGCGCAUGCGUUGGAGGCGGCGGAUACCGACACCUUUUCCGAUUGACUUCCACGGUUCCACCUCCUUCUUCUCCUGGAUCCCCUGUCUUCUUUGCCUAUCAAAACCCAUACAUGGCUGUGGUUGAUGCUGGUUUCCAUUCCCGAGAAGAGACUACAAGAGAAUCCAUCCAAAGGCACUAAGGUUGUUUUCUGUAUUGACAUCUCUUAUAUUUGUCUAUGAGUGCAUUUUAUCAAUAGUUAAAUUUAUAGUUUAUGAUGUGAAGGUUCGACCCACAUAUAUGAAAAGUAUAUAUGUUGGGACACCUUAUGUGUGUGCUGAAUAACCAAUUUGACUGUUGUGUUUUCCCAGUGUUUCUUAGCGUCUCCUUAUGCUUGAGAGAUGUCUUUUGAGGUAUAGCCGUAUAGGAGAUCUGGACAUCGUGAAGGACACGGGCGUCAGUGCACGUUGGUUUUUCAAUCGCUCGGUGGAGAAGUCCGUAGCCUAAUCACUCUUUCUAUCUCUCUUAUAUGAUACACACAUCUUCUGGUAUAGACGAUUUUUAGUUGAACCUAUACUAAUUUUGUUGUCAAUUUUAGUUAUUUUUAUGCUUUUGUUUCUUUUCUUUUUUUGCGACUGAACAAUGAUGGCAUGCUCUGAUGAUCACUCGGUACAACCAGCUAUCACACACACCAUUGAAUGCAUACGUCUUCCCUAUGUAUACAAUUGUUCAUAUUUUACUACAA